AGAUAGGUUAAGACGAGGACAAGAAUAUAAUUUUACGGUUUUGAAGAGAGGGAAGUCAUGGCUGCAAACUUCCUAACACGAGAGUUAUAUUUACCACCUCUAAACUUCAGCAGUGAACGAGUCUCGACUUUAGUAAUUGUUGACGGAUGUUUCCGUUAAAAAUACUUGAGCUAUUCAAGCUUAUUUGCUUUGAAUAGAAACAAGGGUGGUACCGCGAUUAUAACUCGUCCCUUUU
rnacentral:ncRNA from 1 species